CUUAUCUAGAGUGGUGGAGGGACUGGCCCUAUGAAGCCCAGCAACCAAUAGUAUUUUUACUAUGGGUGCUAAGUCCUGCAGAUUUCUGAGAGAUAAGG
rnacentral:ncRNA from 1 species